CGUAACAAGGUUUCCGUAGGUGAACCUGCGGAAGGAUCAUUACCUAGAGUUGUAGGCUUUGCCUGCUAUCUCUUACCCAUGUCUUUUGAGUACCUUCGUUUCCUCGGCGGGUCCGCCCGCCGAUUGGACAAUUUAAACCAUUUGCAGUUGCAAUCAGCGUCUGAAAAAACUUAAUAGUCACAACUUUCAACAACGGAUCUCUUGGUUCUGGCAUCGAUGAAGAACGCAGCGAAAUGCGAUAAGUAGUGUGAAUUGCAGAAUUCAGUGAAUCAUCGAAUCUUUGAACGCACAUUGCGCCCCUUGGUAUUCCAUGGGGCAUGCCUGUUCGAGCGUCAUUUGUACCUUCAAGCUCUGCUUGGUGUUGGGUGUUUGUCUCGCCUCUGCGCGCAGACUCGCCUCAAAACAAUUGGCAGCCGGCGUAUUGAUUUCGGAGCGCAGUACAUCUCGCGCUUUGCACUCAUAACGACGACGUCCAAAAGUACAUUUUUACACUCUUGACCUCGGAUCAGGUAGGGAUACCCGCUGAACUUAAGCAUAUCA
rnacentral:rRNA from 1 species